AUGAAAUUAAAAUUAUUAAAUAUAAUUUUAUCAAUAAUAAAUAAACUUAAUAAUAAUAAUAAUAUUAUUAUUAAUAAUCUAUUAGAUUCAUUAAUAAAUAAGAAAUUAUUAUUAAAGAAUAUAUUAUUAGAUAUAAAUAAUAAAAAAAUAAAUAAUAUAAAAAGAAUAUUAAAUAAUAAUAAUAUAAAUAUUAAUAAUAAAUUACAACAUUUAAAUAAUAUAAAUAAUUGAAAUCUACAAAUUUAUAAUUAUAAUAAAAAUAUAGAAAUUAUAAAUACUAUAAAUGAUAAAUUAAUUAAUAAAUUAUUAUAUAAAAUAAUAACUUUAAAAUUAAAUAAUAUAAAUAUUAAUAAAAUUAUUAUAAGUAAACUUAUUAAUCAACAUAGUUUAAAUAAAUUAAAUAUUAAAUUUUAUUAUUAUAAUAAUGAUAUUAAUAAUAAUAAUAAUAAUAAUAAUAAUAAUAAUAAUUAUUAUAUAAAUAUAAUAAAUAAAUUAAUAAAUAUUAUAAAUAAUAAUAUAAAUAAUAAUUUAUGUAAUAUUUUAAGUUAUUAUUAUAAUAAAAAAGUAACUAUUGAACCUAUUAAAUUAUCAUAUAUUUAUUUAAAUAGUGAUAUUUUUAGUAAAUAUAUUAGUUUAAAUGAUAUAGAUAAAUAUAAUAAUGGUAUCUUAACUAAUUAUCAACGUAUAUUAAAUAAUAUUAUGCCUAAAUUAAAUGAUCAUAAUAUUUCUAUAAAUUAUAUUAAUAAUAUUAAUAAUAUUAAUAAUAAUAAAUAUAAUAAUAUAAUUAAUUUAUUAAAUAAUAAUAAUAAUAAUAAUAAUUAUAAUAUUAAUAAUAAUAAUAAUUAUAAUAAUAAUAAUAAUAAUUAUAUUGGUAAUAUUAAUAAUAUUUAUAAUAAUAUAACUAUUGAUAAUAUUCCUAUAGAUAUUUUAAUAUAUAAAUAUUUAGUUGGUUGAUCUAUUAAAUUUAAAGGUAGAUUAAGUAAUAAUAAUGGUAGAACUAGUACACUUAAUUUAUUAAAUGGUACUUUUAAUAAUAAAAAAUAUUUAUGAAGUAAUAUUAAUAAUAAUUAUAAAUUAAAUUAUAUCCCUUCUAAUCAUAAUUUAUAUAAUAAUUCUAAUAUUAAUAAAAAUGGUAAAUAUAAUAUUAAAGUUAAAUUAAACUUUAUUUAA
rnacentral:rRNA from 1 species